ACUCCAUCAUUAAUGCACACUGCAGCAGGACACAUAGCAUAGAGCAGCUAAUAUAUUCUGAGAGAGUUAAUUAGAGUGAGUAAGCCACAGUAUCUGGGUACAUCUUUCUUUUUAGCAUGUCAACAUCAAGUCCUUUCCGUGUCGCUUCCAAAAUCGUAACUGCGGGAUGCCUGUGUUUGCCACUAUUCCAGGUAAUCAUUGAUGCUUUUAGUAGCUUUUGGAGGUCUCUUUGGGGUUGAUAUACUGAGAAUUUGUCCUUUGUGUGAUUUAACUACUGCGUGUAAAGGAUUCUCUUCAAGAUUCUACCAGCACCCCAUGAUUUAUAUUAGUUAUUUUCCAAAAAUGAAAACUAGAACAUCCAUGGCCUCAAGUCUCAUUUCUUUGUUCCUAGCUGCAAUGCUGUUGAAAUCCGUGAUGUAAAUGUACACUUUAUUUUGUAAUACUUUGCGAUGUUUUCAAACACAGAAAUACUAUUGACACAAAAAAUACUAUGGCUCUUCUAAUUUAGAAAAUGUUUACCAAUCUCUGCAGCUCCCUGGAUUCUUGACAGUUUUUCAGUGAUGACUGCUGCAGACAGAGCCAUAUUUAGGUUUAUGUGGCUAGUCUGUGGUGGCAUCUUUUUGUAACCAAUAAUGGCAUCCUUGUAUGUCUCUUACUUGAAGGCAAGGUGUCUGAAAGAUCGAAGGUUGCAGCGUAUUAAGACCUCCUUUCUUUAUGUCAUAACAGCCUGGGAGAUUGGCAGCUAAUGCAUUGGCCCUUUGGUGGUGAUAAUGAGAUACCACACGCUCCUUGCUAGGGUACAACAGACAGAGAAGACUGGGAUGUGACUUGAAAGGGAAAGGUUGGCUUAAUUUGUUUUAUCUGUUAAGCUAGAUCCCAAAUGGUUUACAUCUCGUCAUAAACAAAGUUUCUUUAUAGACAGAAUUUGAAUGCUCAUUUCCUCCCGGUUAGUAUGCAAAUCUCUUUGCAGCAUUUUAGCAAAAGAGAAUACAACUCAUUUUCUGUGCUUAUAAAUUGUUCAUUACCAUGCUCUCUGAUGGCCAAUCCAUUGCUCCAUAUGGCAUAAAUACUAGGUGCU
rnacentral:lncRNA from 1 species